GGACCAAGGAGUCUAGCAUGUGCGCGAGUCAUUGGGAUCGUACGCGAAAGACCCAAAGGCGCAAUGAAAGUGAAGGUACGCCUUGCGCGGACCAAGGGAGGAUGGGCGAUCGUUAGCGCGGUCGCCUCGCACUCCCGGGGCGUCUCGUUCUCAUUGCGAGAAGAGGCGCACCAAGAGCGUACACGCUGGGACCCGAAAGAUGGUGAACUAUGCCUGGUCAGGACGAAGUCAGGGGAAACCCUGAUGGAGGUCCGUAGCGAUUCUGACGUGCAAAUCGAUCGUCGGAACUGGGUAUAGGGGCGAAAGACUAAUCGAACCAUCUAGUAGCUGGUUCCCUCCGAAGUUUCCCUCAGGAUAGCUGGCGCUCGUAGCGUACGAGUUUCAUCCGGUAAAGCGAAUGAUUAGAGGCAUUGGGGUCGAAACGGCCUCAACCUAUUCUCAAACUUUAAAUGGGUGAGAUCUCCGGCUUGCUCGAACUCUUGAAGCCGCGAGACUCGAAUCAGAGUGCCAAGUGGGCCAUUUUUGGUAAGCAGAACUGGCGCUGUGGGAUGAACCAAACGCCGAGUUAAAGCGCCUAAAUCGACGCUUAUGGGAUACCAUGAAAGGCGUUGGUAACUUAAGACAUCAGGACGGUGGCCAUGGAAGUCGGA
rnacentral:rRNA from 1 species